rnacentral:misc_RNA from 1 species
GGGACAAGUUCCCGAAAGGAUGGCGGAAACGCCAGAUGCCUUGUCCC